UCUACAGCCAUAUGAACCAUUCACAUCUUAUGAUACUUCAUAUAAAAGAACAGGAAUAAUUUAUUAAAAGUAUUGGUGGAUGUGGGUUAAAGAACAAUAUCAUUUGAGUUCUUCCAAAAUUAUUCAGCGAUGAAUGUGCUAUUACAACAAAAUGGACAGGGCGAGUAAAAAAUAUAACAAUAGUAUUAAACGAGAUUCAUAUCUGACACGACGCUUCGUGAUACACGACUCGUGCCACCUUAUUAGCCUUCGAUUAUUUGACUGACCAACGGAUGCCUUACGCCACGAUAGAAAAUGUAGCAAGAGCCGCACGACCGACGACGAACUGCUGCAAAUUAGUGAUGGGACGUUCACGAACGAACGGAUCUUUUUGAACGGGUCAUAUCAGUGAACGAGUUGAUCCGGAUCGCAAAAAAAAUAGAUAUCGUUCAUUCGUUCAUACGUUCGUUUCACGCAAUAUAUCGGACAGUGUUUCAUGAUUCGUUCAUUUACUAAACGUUUACCUGUACUUCAAUUAAAACCUAUGCCUAACCUUAUAUUCUUAUAAUAUAAAAAUUUAAAAAAAAAAACGAAGAAUAUAUUCUUUACAAGUAUAUACUUAUAAUGUUUUCUUAAAAAAUUAAAUAAAAAUAUACUUAUUGCCAAUGAGAGUUUAAAAGCAACACUAUUUGGUUUGUGAUAAAAACAUUUUUAUUGUAGGUCUGCAGACUAAAUUUUCAAAGUUGUGACAUGUUUCUACUAACAUAAUCAUGCAGUGAAAAUGCGAAUUUGAACGACUCGUUCAGGAAAACCAUAGUAAGGAGUAAUUGAUAAGAACCGUGACCAAUCGUAAGAAAUGAACGAAAGAACGAGUUAUAUGAACUGGUCAUUUGAACGAUCCGGAUCGUUCGAUUGACCCGAAAUUCCCAUCACUACUGCAAAUGAUACGUUGCGUCUUCUUCCCGUUGUGACCAUGUCGAGGGUGUACGCCACCAACUCCGGACGUGCCGCACGACAGGACUAGACGAACCGUUACGCACCCACGCACCUGCGCACCGUCGCCUUCAACGCUGCUAACUUUUUGACGCCGAGAUCAUGCCGGACACCGUGUCGCUAACGUCAGCGAAAGUGCCUCGAUAUUGUGCGACGAUUAUUAGUAGUGAUGGGCAUAAUCGAAUGAUUUCGAUAAUCGAAUGAUUAGUAAUCGAGACAUUUUCAUAAUCGAGUGAAUCUCUCGAAAAAUCACUCGAAGUUAAAAUCGUCUGCUCGUAUGAUAAGAAUAAUCAACUAUUAUUAUUUAUCGAGAGAAUCGAAAAAUUAUACGAAAUAUGAAUAAAUAUACCUAUAGUAAAUAAUUAUUAAUUUAAUUUUGCUUUUUUUAUUUGUUGGUGUUUAUUUAUAAUUAAUAUAUUAAACUAUAAUUU